rnacentral:ncRNA from 1 species
AUAAAUUUUUAGGACCAAGUAGAAUCCGUGAAAUCUAAAGAGAGCCUAUGGGUGGUGCGAGUAGGUAGAUGGAACGAUUUGAACUCUUCCUAUUUAAAAGUUCGGGCGAAGCAAACUUUGUGAACCCGAAACGUCUGGCGGCGUUAACGUCUUAAGCAUUGGAUCAUCCAAUGGAAGAUAGGUGGUACCGCGCUAUGAGCGCCCUAUAA